rnacentral:rRNA from 1 species
UACGGAGGGUGCAAGCGUUAUCCGGAUUCACUGGGUUUAAAGGGUGCGUAGGUGGGCAGGUAAGUCAGUGGUGAAAUCUCCGAGCUUAACUCGGAAACUGCCGUUGAUACUAUUUGUCUUGAAUAUUGUGGAGGUAAGCGGAAUAUGUCAUGUAGCGGUGAAAUGCUUAGAUAUGACAUAGAACACCAAUUGCGAAGGCAGCUUACUACACAACUAUUGACACUGAGGCACGAAAGCGUGGGGAUCAAACAGG